rnacentral:rRNA from 1 species
AUUGAACGCUGGCGGCAUGCCUUACACAUGCAAGUCGAACGGUAACAGGUCUUCGGACGCUGACGAGUGGCGAACGGGUGAGUAAUACAUCGGAACGUGCCCAGUCGUGGGGGAUAACUACUCGAAAGAGUAGCUAAUACCGCAUACGAUCUGAGGAUGAAAGCGGGGGACCUUCGGGCCUCGCGCGAUUGGAGCGGCCGAUGGCAGAUUAGGUAGUUGGUGGGAUAAAAGCUUACCAAGCCGACGAUCUGUAGCUGGUCUGAGAGGACGACCAGCCACACUGGGACUGAGACACGGCCCAGAUUCCUACGGGAGGCAGCAGUGGGGAAUUUUGGACAAUGGGCGAAAGCCUGAUCCGGCAAUGCCGCGUGCAGGAUGAAGGCCUUCGGGUUGUAAACUGCUUUUGUACGGAACGAAAAAGCUUCUCCUAAUACGAGAGGCCCAUGACGGUACCGUAAGAAUAAGCACCGGCUAACUACGUGCCAGCAGCCGCGGUAAAAC